rnacentral:rRNA from 1 species
GUGGGGAAUCUUCCGCAAUGGACGAAAGUCUGACGGAGCAACGUCGCGUGAGUGAAGAAGGUUUUCGGAUCGUAAAGCUCUUUCGUUAGGGACGAACGUGCUCUUUGUGAAUAAUGAGGAGUAAUGACGGUACCUAAAUAAGAAGCCACGGCUAACUACGUGCCAGCAGCCGCGGUAAUACGUAGGUGGCAAGCGUUGUCCGGAAUUAUUGGGCGUAAAGCGCGCGCAGGCGGGAUAUCAAGUCUGUCUUAAAAGUGCGAGGCUCAACCUCGUGAGGGGACAGAAACUGGUAUUCUUGAGUGUCGGAGAGGAAAGUGGAAUUCCAAGUGUAGCGGUGAAAUGCGUAGAGAUUUGGAAGAACACCAGUGGCGAAGGCGACUUUCUGGACGAUGUCUGACGCUGAGGCGCGAAAGCUAGGGGAGCGAACGGGAUUAGAAACCCGUGUAGUCC